rnacentral:rRNA from 1 species
GACGAACGCUGGCGGCGUGCUUAACACAUGCAAGUCGAACGGUAAGGCCCUUCGGGGUACACGAGUGGCGAACGGGUGAGUAACACGUGGGUGAUCUGCCCUGCACUUCGGGAUAAGCCUGGGAAACUGGGUCUAAUACCGGAUAGGACUCCUGGCUUCAUGGUUGGGGGUGGAAAGCUUUUGCGGUGUGGGAUGGGCCCGCGGCCUAUCAGCUUGUUGGUGGGGUAAUGGCCUACCAAGGCGACGACGGGUAGCCGGCCUGAGAGGGUGACCGGUCACACUGGGACUGAGAUACGGCCCAGACUCCUACGGGAGGCAGCAGUGGGGCAUAUUGCACAAUGGGCGCAAGCCUGAUGCAGCGACGCCGCGUGAGGGAUGACGGCCUUCGGGUUGUAAACCUCUUUCAGCUAUGACGAGGCGCAAGUGACGGUAGUAGCAGAAGAAGGACCGGCCAACUACGUGCCAGUCGCCGCAGUAA